AUGGCCCAGAGGUCCAGUCAUCAUUAUUACCAGCCAGAGGUUCAGUCAUCAUUAUUACCUGACUCAAUGACCAUUAAAUGGCCCAGAGAGGUCCAGUCAUCAUUAUUACCAGUCAGAGGUCCAGUCGUCAUUAUUACCAGUCAGAGGUCCAGUCGUCAUUAUUACCAGUCAGAGGUCCAGUCAUCAUUAUUACCAGUCAGAGGUUCAGUCAUCAUUAUUACCAGUCAGAGGUCCAGUCGUCAUUAUUACCAGUCAGAGGUCCAGUCAUCAUUAUUACCUGACUCGAUGACAGCACGCCUCUUUCUCUUUUUAUCAUUGUCCUUCUUCUUCUUCUUCUCCACCUUGGGGCUGGUGAUCUGGAACACAUCAUCCUCAUCAUCAUCCUCCUCACCAGCAUCAUUAUUAUCAUCAUCACCACCAUCAUCAUCAUCAUCCUCACCACCAUCACCACCAUCCACAUCAUCAUCAUCCUCAUCCUGUUCACCACCAUGGUCAUUAUAAUCAUAGUCAUUGAAGUCGUGAGCUUAGCAGUGUGGUUGGGGUUAAGAAAGUGUAGAAAUAAGUGGGAUUUAGCACUUUGUGGCUAUAGAAGCUAGCGCCGACCAGUUCACUAACUAGACUCUGGUUUAUAUUAAUACCUUGGUGGUCGACCAGUUCACUGACUAGAGACUCUGGUUUAUAAUAAUACCUUGGUGGUCGACCAGUUCACUGACUAGAGACUCUGGUUUAUAAUAAAUACCUUGGUGGUCGACCAGUUCACUGACUAGAGACUCUGGUUUAUAAUAAUACCUUGGUGGUCGACCAGUUCACUGACUAGAGACUCUGGUUUAUAUUAAUACCUUGGUGGUCGACCAGUUCACUGACUAGAGACUCUGGUUUAUAAUAAUACCUUGGUGGUCGACCAGUUCACUGACUAGAGACUCUGGUUUAUAUUAAUACCUUGGUGGUCGACCAGUUCACUGACUAGAGACUCUGGUUUAUAAUAAUACCUUGGUGGUCGACCAGUUCACUGACUAGAGACUCUGGUUUAUAAUAAUACCUUGGUGGUCGACCAGUUCACUGACUAGAGACUCUGGUUUAUAAUAAAUACCUUGGUGGUCGACCAGUUCACUGACUAGAGACUCUGGUUUAUAAUAAAUACCUUGGUGGUCGACCAGUUCUCUGACUAGAGACUCUGGUUUAUAAUAAAUACCUUGGUGGUCGACCAGUUCACUGACUAGAGACUCUGGUUUAUAAUAAUACCUUGGUGGUCGACCAGUUCACUGACUAGAGACUCUGGUUUAUAAUAAAUACCUUGGUGGUCGACCAGUUCACUGACUAGAGACUCUGGUUUAUAAUAAUACCUUGGUGGUCGACCAGUUCACUGACUAGAGACUCUGGUUUAUAUUAAUACCUUGGUGGUCGACCAGUUCACUGACUAGAGACUCUGGUUUAUAUUAAUACCUUGGUGGUCGACCAGUUCACUGACUAGAGACUCUGGUUUAUAUUAAUACCUUGGUGGUCGACCAGUUCACUGACUAGAGACUCUGGUUUAUAUUAAUACCUUGGUGGUCGACCAGUUCACUGACUAGAGACUCUGGUUUAUAUUAAUACCUUGGUGGUCGACCAGUUCACUGACUAGAGACUCUGGUUUAUAUUAAUACCUUGGUGGUCGACCAGUUCACUGACUAGAGACUCUGGUUUAUAUUAAUACCUUGGUGGUCGACCAGUUCACUGACUAGAGACUCUGGUUUAUAUUAAUACCUUGGUGGUCGACCAGUUCACUGACUAGAGACUCUGGUUUAUAUUAAUACCUUGGUGGUCGACCAGUUCACUGACUAGAGACUCUGGUUUAUAUUAAUACCUUGGUGGUCGACCAGUUCACUGACUAGAGACUCUGGUUUAUAUUAAUACCUUGGUGGUCGACCAGUUCACUGACUAGAGACUCUGGUUUAUAUUAAUACCUUGGUGGUCGACCAGUUCACUGACUAGAGACUCUGGUUUAUAUUAAUACCUUGGUGGUCGACCAGUUCACUGACUAGAGACUCUGGUUUAUAAUAAUACCUCGGUGGUCGACCAGUUCACUGACUAGAGACUCUGGUUUAUAUUAAUACCUUGGUGGUCGACCAGUUCACUGACUAGAGACUCUGGUUUAUAUUAAUACCUUGGUGGUCGACCAGUUCACUGACUAGAGACUCUGGUUUAUAUUAAUACCUUGGUGGUCGACCAGUUCACUGACUAGAGACUCUGGUUUAUAUUAAUACCUUGGUGGUCGACCAGUUCACUGACUAGAGACUCUGGUUUAUAUUAAUACCUUGGUGGUCGACCAGUUCACUGACUAGAGACUCUGGUUUAUAAUAAUACCUCGGUGGUCGACCAGUUCACUGACUAGAGACUCUGGUUUAUAUUAAUACCUUGGUGGUCGACCAGUUCACUGACUAGAGACUCUGGUUUAUAUUAAUACCUUGGUGGUCGACCAGUUCACUGACUAGAGACUCUGGUUUAUAUUAAUACCUUGGUGGUCGACCAGUUCACUGACUAGAGACUCUGGUUUAUAUUAAUACCUUGGUGGUCGACCAGUUCACUGACUAGAGACUCUGGUCCUUGGUGGUCGACCAGUUCACUGACUAGAGACUCUGGUUUAUAUUAAUACCUUGGUGGUAGACCAGUUCACUGACUAGAGACUCUGGUUUAUAUUAAUACCUUGGUGGUCGACCAGUUCACUGACUAGAGACUCUGGUUUAUAUUAAUACCUUGGUGGUAGACCAGUUCACUGACUAGAGACUCUGGUUUAUAUUAAUACCUUGGUGGUAGACCAGUUCACUGACUAGAGACUCUGGUUUAUAAUAAAUACCUUGGUGGUCGACCAGUUCACUGACUAGAGACUCUGGUUUAUAUUAAUACCUUGGUGGUCGACCAGUUCACUGACUAGAGACUCUGGUUUAUAAUAAUACCUUGGUGGUCGACCAGUUCACUGACUAGAGACUCUGGUUUAUAUUAAUACCUUGGUGGUCGACCAGUUCACUGACUAGAGACUCUGGUUUAUAUUAAUACCUUGGUGGUCGACCAGUUCACUGACUAGAGACUCUGGUUUAUAUUAAUACCUUGGUGGUCGACCAGUUCACUGACUAGAGACUCUGGUUUAUAUUAAUACCUUGGUGGUUGACCAGUUCACUGACUAGAGACUCUGGUUUAUAUUAAUACCUUGGUGGCCGACCAGUUCACUGACUAGAGACUCUGGUUUAUAUUAAUACCUUGGUGGUCGACCAGUUCACUGACUAGAGACUCUGGUUUAUAAUAAAUACCUUGGUGGUCGACCAGUUCACUGACUAGAGACUCUGGUUUAUAAUAAUACCUUGGUGGUCGACCAGUUCACUGACUAGAGACUCUGGUUUAUAAUAAUACCUUGGUGGUCGACCAGUUCACUGACUAGAGACUCUGGUUUAUAUUAAUACCUUGGUGACAGGUUUCUUCUUCUUCACUUCUUCGUCUGUUGAGACAGAUUGCUUCUUCUUCUUCUUCGUGGAUUCCUUCUCUGUGUUCAGGGUUCCAUCCUGAGAUGGUUUCUGUGCUGCGGGUUUGCUUGAUACAAAGAACCGCCUGAUGUCCUAAGAAUGGAAGGGGAGGGGGAGAGGAGAGAGUAAAUGAGUCCACUGAGCCUAAUUGACACCCUAUUCCCUAUAUAAUGCACUACAGGGCUCUGGUUAAAAGUAAAUAGUGCACUGUAUAGGAAUAUGGUGUAAUUUGGGAUCUAUCCUAGACGUUAAAUGACAGUUGAUUUGAAGACAUGCAUUGCUACGUCACACAUGAGCGAUAUGUUGCGUGGACAGAUACAGUAUCUAGUUCUGGUACAAUCACAUACUUAAACUUUACUUAACUAGGCAAAUCAGUUAAUUAACGGCCUACCCCGGACUACGGUGGGCAAAAACUGCGCGACCCUAUGGGACUCCCAAUCACGGCCGGAUGUGAUGCGGCCUGGAUUCGAACCAGGGACUGCAGUUGCCUAAGAGAGCUGCGCCAUUUCGGGAGCCCAAUUUAGCUGCAUGAGUUGCUGUAGUUCUAGUACCAUCGCAUAUUUUAUCUUUGUGAUCUGCCCAUGUAAAAAUGCCACUUGAUGCCAUAAUUUUGUUGUCAGUAUUGACAAGACGACUGUCGCUUUGCUGUUUGCAAUGUAAACAACUGACUUUGCAAAGAUAGUCAGCUUCAUGCAUUGUUUUCAUCAGCAUGAUAGCUAGUGAGUUAGCUAGAAAUCCUACUGAAACAACCAAAUAGGGCAACUACGGGUUGGGAUCUAGUUGGCUUAACUACCUUACUCGGUACAUUCGUGCGUCCUCUAAAACAGUAACAUGCGUCCUAACGUUAGCUGACAUAUGCGUUUCUAUGCAAUACUGAAUCACUUGUGUUGUUGCUGUUGUCAGGGAAUGAGUUGUUGAUUUGGACCUACGAUGCAUAGACGCCGUGACUUACCAUAAUCCACGACAAAAUAAAUGAGUUUUUCUUAUUGAUCGUGACGAGACUAGUUUACACGAGCAGCUCCUUUAAAAAAAAUAACAAAUCCUCCUUGGCGCGAAGUGUGAUCAGAGCGGAAGAGGAAGUGGAAGAGGAAGAGGCCCAUGUCGGGGGAAAACGUGUCUCCCUCCAGCAGGUGGCGUUUUAGUCGUUGUUUCACUCAUCAGGCAUCAAGUCGUUUUUAAUGUGUGGACGUCAAUAAGAGUGUCGAAUUUAAUCAACAACAACAGACAAAAUGGUUGAUUUGUUACGUGACGUUUCUUUUUUUAAUUAUAUAAUGUAAGUUUAAGUUGUUACGAAUGUACCGGUAUAAGUAGGACACGUCACAUCCCGGCAACUUUGAGAAUAAACACUUUAUAUAACGGAGAUGUUUAUUUAAUGUAUUUCUCCUUUAUGUAACCAGGUAGGCCAGUUGAGAACAAGUUCUCAUUUAUAACUGCGACCCUGACCAAGAUAAAGCACAGCAGUGCGACACAUCUACCGGAGAUGUUUAUGCAUAUCUCUAGCAGGAGGCUACUAGUAGCAUAGGAUCUCUCCACAUGUUCAUCCUGAGACACUCUGAUCGUAUGUUUUAUAUUGAUCCAGGUGAUAUGGGACCCUGAUUUAACGUUCAUUGUUCAUGUGUUUAUCUUUCACGGAAGAUUCUUUAUCCAUAAAAUGAAGAGAACAAACCCCUUGCUUCACAUUCUCUCUUAAAUAAUUUAAAUAUUAUUUAGAAAUGAUCAGUAAAUGUAAA
rnacentral:lncRNA from 1 species